rnacentral:lncRNA from 1 species
GGCUACUUCCCACGUGGCAGUCCCAAAUCACAGUCCUCCUGCGUGGGUGCCUCCAGAGGGCAGGCCCACAGCACGCUGCCUCCUCACCACAGACAGAGGAGGUUGGGAGACAUCGGACUUUGGAUUUCAUGUUGGAAAGUGAGAUUUACCCCAUGAGAAGUAAUGCAAGAAGAAGACGGGUGUAAGUGAGGAGAAAAUACCUACCCGCAAGGCCUUUGUUGGAGACGAGAACUUGAAGGGCAGUGUCCACUCUGGAUGAGAGAAAGGCAUCUUGGGGGCGUUUGUCGGACACGCAGACCCUCCGUUCUUCCGGGUGCGCUGGGCCGAGCGCCUGGAAUGCCCAGACUCCUGCCCAGCUGUGGUUGCUGCGUGGAGUCCGGUGCCGGCCCAGCUCGUUCCGGGCGACGGCGAGGGGAACGACCGCGGGGCCUGUGCCCGCAGGCGCUUCAGGGAGCUGAGAGAAAACUUUACGUUCAGCUUUAGGAACUGGGUUGGACAUUGGAGCACGGACGGCUGACCUGCCUUCAGUUUCCAUGCUAUCCUGGCUCUCCCACGGUCUUGAGGCCUCAAGAACAAAGGCCAUGGGGAAGGCCCUGCACUGUGUUAGGUCCCUCUACUCAGAACUCUGCAACCGUGAUCAAGGGGUUAAAAACGAAGAGCAAGCAAGGCAUCAGCCCAUCAGGUUCCUCCCCACUCCUCUGCUUCCUGUCCUUGGAAGGGUUUCUGAUGGAACUGGCAACACUUUCCUACAGCCUUUGAUUUAAGAUCCUCUCUGUGACAUAUUUAAAAACAGAUUAAAGACGUACUUGAACUCC